AAAAAUUAAAAGUUAAGAGUUGAAAAGAUCUGACCAAUGGGAUGCAAUCCACAAGACAAGAAUGUCAGAUAGAAACCCAUUUUCCUUUGGACUUUUGAGCAAGCAACAAGCAUAAGCAAUAUCCAAGCAAACUAUAUGAAGACCAAGACAUCAAAUAAACAUAGCCAUAAUAUCCAAGCAAGCACUCCAAUAGCAAGUUGUCUUUGAUGUCUUCAAAUGUAUCAGAUGAAAUAUUACGUUGGUAAACUCAUAGAAAC
rnacentral:lncRNA from 1 species